rnacentral:rRNA from 1 species
UGGGGAAUAUUGGACAAUGGGCGCAAGCCUGAUCCAGCCAUGCCGCGUGAGUGACGAAGGUCUUCGGAUUGUAAAGCUCUUUUAGCAGGGAAGAUAAUGACGGUACCUGCAGAAUAAGCCCCGGCUAACUUCGUGCCAGCAGCCGCGGUAAUACGAAGGGGGCUAGCGUUGUCCGGAAUUACUGGGCGUAAAGCGCACGUAGGCGGAUUGAUAAGUUAGAGGUGAAAUCCCGGGGCUCAACCUCGGAACUGCCUUUGAUACUGUUAGUCUCGAGUCCGAUAGAGGUGAGUGGAAUUCCUAGUGUAGAGGUGAAAUUCGUAGAUAUUAGGAAGAACACCAGUGGCGAAGGCGGCUCACUGGAUCGGUACUGACGCUGAGGUGCGAAAGCGUGGGGAGCAAACAGGAUUAGAUACCCUUGUAGUCCCUGAGCGGGCUGGCAAGGCGCAU